rnacentral:misc_RNA from 1 species
UUAAGUUCAGCGGGUAACCCUACCUGAUCCGAGGUCAAACCAUCUGUGAUUAAAAUAGGCUUGACGGCAGGCCUCCGCCGGGACCCGAUGCGAGACGAGAUGUUACUACGCAUGGGGGCGCCGCGGCGGGACCGCCACUUCAUUUCGGAGCCUACGGGGUAUUCCACCGUAGUGCCCCAACACCGAUCCAGCUACGCGAA